rnacentral:rRNA from 1 species
AGAGUUUGAUCCUGGCUCAGGUUUAACGCUGGCGGUAGGCAUAACACAUGCAAGUCGAACGCAACUUCGGUUGCGUGGCAGACGGGUGAGUAACACGUGGGUAAUCUGCCUCUAGGCCAAGGAUAACCCGGAGAAAUCCGGAGCAAUCCUGGAUAAUAAUGGGGGGUCCAAGGACAUUCCCAUUUAAAGGUUCACCACCUAGAGAGGAGCCUGCGGAGCAUCAGGUAGUUGGUAAGGUAACGGCUUACCAAGCCAAAGACGCAUAGCUGGUGUGAGAGCACGACCAGCCACAAGGGCACUGAAACACGGGCCCUACACCUACGGGUGGCAGCAGUGAGGAAUCUUCCGCAAUGGGGGAAACCCUGACGGAGCCAUACCGCGUGCAGGACGACGGCCUAUGGGUUGUAAACUGCUUUUGAGUACUGAGGAAAUCUUGACGUUAGGUACUCGAAUAAGCUCCGGCUAACUCCGUGCCAGAAGCCUCGGUUAUACGGAGGGAGCAAGCGUUAUCCGAAUUUACUGGGCGUAAAGUGUUGCGUAGGCGGUUUAAUAAGUCUGGUGUUAAAUCUCACAGCCCAACUGUGAAUCAGCUUCAGAAACUAUUAAACUUGAGAUUAUUUAAGGCGAGUAGAAUUUCCGGUGGAGGGGUCAAAUCCGUUGAUAUCGGAAGGAAUACCAAUGGCGUAAGCAGCUCGCUGGGAUAUUUCUGACGCUUAGGCACGAAAGCGUGGGGAGCAAAACGGAUUAGAUACCCGUGUAGUCCACGCUGUAAACGAUGGAUGCUGGUUGUUGGAGGUAUCGAUCCCCUCGGCAACGAAGCUAACGCGUUAAGCAUCCCGCCUGUAUACUACGACCGCAAGGUUAAAACAUAAAGGAAUAGACGGGGGCUCGCACAAGCGGUGCUGCAUGUGGCUUAAUUCGACAAUACGCGAAAAACCUUACCAGGUCUUGACAUCCCAAGAAGUCUCCCGAAAAGGAGAUGUGCCGUAAGGAACUUGGUGACAGGUGAUGCAUGGCUGUCGUCAGCUCGUGCUGUGAAGUGUUCAGUUAAGUCUGGAAACGAGCGCGACCCUCAUCGUAUGUUGGAUUUUCAUGCGAAACUGCCCGUGUAAGCGGGAGGAAGGCGAGGACGACGUCUAGUCUGUAUGUCUCUUACGACCUGGGCUGCACACAUGCUGCAAUGGCUGGUACAAAGGGCUGCAAAGUUGCGAAACGGAGCUAAUCCCAUCAAAGCCAGUCUCAGUUCAGAUUACAGGCUGAAACCCGCCUGUAUGAAGCUGGAAUCGCUAGUAACCGUGUAUCAGAACGGCACGGUGAAUGUGUUCCCGAGCCUUGUACUCACCGCCCGUCACGUCAUGAAAGUUGGGAAUGGAUGAAGAUCCCCCGGUUUAAAUGUGGGGAUUUAGUUCAGGCUCAGCGAUUGGGACGAAGUCGUAACAAGGUA